UACGUAGGCAGCGAGCGUUGUUCGGAGUUACUGGGCGUAAAGAGUGUGUAGGCGGUGUUCCCAGUCUGUUGUGAAAUCUCCCGGCUUAACUGGGAGGGUGCAGCGGAAACUAGAAUGCUAGAGGGUGGGAGAGGUAAGCGGAAUUCCUGGUGUAGCGGUGAAAUGCGUAGAUAUCAGGAGGAACACCUGUGGUGUAGACAGCUUACUGGACCACUUCUGACGCUGAGACACGAAAGCGUGGGGAGCGAACAGG
rnacentral:rRNA from 1 species